ACUGGGGCUCUGGGUGGUGAUAGGGAGGCUGGAGAGGGGCGGAGGUGGCUACGGGUGGACCCCCAGACUGGGGCUCUGGGUGGUGGUAGGGGGGCUGGAGAGGGGCGGAGGUGGCUGGGGCAAGCCCAGACUGGGGCUCUGGGUGGUGAUAGGGGGGCUGGAGAGGGGCGGAGGUGGCUGGGGCAAGCCCAGACUGGGGCUCUGGGUGGUGGUAGGGUGGCUGGAGAGGGGCGGAGAUGGCUGGGGCAAGCCCAGACUGGGGCUCUGGGUGGUGGUAGGGAGGCUGGAGAGGGGCGGAGGUGGCUGGGGCAAGCCCAGACUGGGGCUCUGGGUGGUGGUAGGGAGGCUGGAGAGGGGCGGAGGUGGCUGGGGCAAGCCCAGACUGGGGCUCUGGGUGGUGGUAGGGAGGCUGGAGAGGGGCGGAGGUGGCUGGGGCAAGCCCAGACUGGGGCUCUGGGUGGUGGUAGGGAGGCUGGAGAGGGGCGGAGGUGGCUGGGGCAAGCCCAGACUGGGGCUCUGGGUGGUGGUAGGGAGGCUGGAGAGGGGCGGAGGUGGCUGGGGCAAGCCCAGACUGGGGCUCUGGGUGGUGGUAGGGAGGCUGGAGAGGGGCGGAGGUGGCUGGGGUAAGCCCAGGCUGUUUUUUUUUAGUUGGGCCUUUGGAAGAGACCGUCUGUUUCUGCCUACCAGGUGGAACCCAGUUCCCUACAUAGUGCAAUACUUCUGACCAGAGACCCAUAGAGUUAGUUCUCACACAAAGCCAGUUGAUGAAGUGGACCAAGGAGAUGACAACAUUGACAUUGUUCUGUGAUGUCAGGUCCAGGUGUGAAGGACCCCUACAGGGCUCUGGUCACAAGUAGUGCACUAUAUCGGCAAUAGUACCAUUUGGGAGUCAGUCUGUCCCAGGGAGGUCCGUCUGUCCCAGGGAGGUCCGUCUGUCCCCAGGGAGGUCCGUCUGUCCCAGGGAGGUCCGUCUGUCCCCAGGGAGGUCCGUCUGUCCCCAGGGAGGUCCGUCUGUCCCAGGGAGGUCCGUCUGUCCCAGGGAGGACCGUCUGUCCCAGGGAGGACCGUCUGUCCCAGGGAGGUCCGUCUGUCCCAGGGAGGUCCGUCUGUCCCAGGGAGGACCGUCUGUCCCAGGGAGGUCCGUUCAUCCCCCGCUCUCUACCUGUCCUUCAGUUCCCUGGUGACUCUCUUGGUGAUGCGUCCACACAGCAGGCCGACCAGGAAGAGGACAAUCACCCCCAGGGAGAUUAUAAACAGGAUGUAGUUCUUAGAGGGGGAGAUCAUCACCUGCAUGGCAAGGUCUGAAAAACCCUCUGCUGGAG